AAUCAAUGACACCUAAUGAAGCAUUAGCCACCACAAAUUAUCCAUUCAUUCCUAUCAGCCUUAACACUAUCAUUUCUUUACUCUCACCACCGAAUUGAACUUGGCAAAAAAAAGAAGAAAGAAAGGCCGAGAGAGAAUGUGAGCUUUCAUGGAAACCAUGAGUUUUUAGCUUCAAUUUCUUGUGAUCCGUAACUCUAAUAAAAAAUCUAAUCCGAUAAAAGUGUUUGUAUCUUUCCCUUGAGUUCGGCCAACUGGAGUUCUAGGAGGCACAUAUGAUUUCUGACGCUUUCCUCUUCAACAGCUCGAUAAAAAAGUUUCUCCAAAGUUUUCGUUGAUUUUGAUUUCGUAUGAAGGUAGGGGAUUUAUUUUUAAAGAUAAACGUUUUUAAUUUAGAAUGCCUACAAAAUUAAUUGAAUAAUUACAAAUAUAUCUAUAUAUAUAUAUUAAUAAUAGUAAUGUUAUUGAGUAUGGAUUAUUGCUGUGAAUGUGACUGUUUUCUGAUUAUUAAGAAUUUCGCUGAUUUGAGAAUUGUUGAGAAAAAGGCUGGUGAAUUGUUGAGGAAUAGGGAACCCGUAAGGGUGGUUUAGACUGAAUUUUAGAGAAAAUACCGCCAAAAUUUUAUAAAAUCUGAGGUUUUAUUUGAAAAGUUAUUUUAAAAGAUUUGGUUUUGAAAAAUUAAAUUAUUUAAAAUAUAUUUAGUUAAGAAAAGAUUUACUCUAUUUUAAAGUUUGAUUUAUUAAGAAAAAUAUAAUGUUUUAAACCCAAUCUUUUAAGGAGAGAUUUUGUUUUAAGUAAAGAUUUGAGCUCGGUUUAUUAAGAAAAGGAAUCUCUGUCACAGGAGAGCAGAGAACAAGGAUUUAAAGAAUAUAUUAAUUAAUGAAGUGUCUGCCAUAGGAGAGCAGAUGUGAUAUUGUUUGGGCCUUAGUGCCAAAUGUAAAGUGGGGACGCCCACACACUGAGAACUGUUUUCCAGAUGUAAGCUUAUUGAUUUGGAAAGUCACACUGAUGCGGCCUAGCCGUACGACUUAUAAGCACACUGAUGCAUCUGGAAAGCCAUACCUGGGACUUGUGCCUGGGUAAUGUCGGGAGCGGGUAGGCAACCGACACAUGAGCUCAUGGCCUGCGUUAGGAAUAGACAUGCAUCAUGUUGUUUGCACAUUUGCAUUUGAUUGCGCUUGCUUGUCUUAUUACUUUGUGAUUGUAUUGUUUGUCUUGUUGUGACUUGCUUGUACAUUGAAUUGAAUCUCUUACUUGCACUACUUGUUUGUAAGUGUAUUAAAGUGAUUACAAGUUGACAUUUGACUGAAGAUUAACUAUGUGGCUGAGAGACAGAAAAUGUGACUAAUUUUAUAUUUAAGUUUUGAUUUGAGUUUAGAGUUUUUUUAAAAAAAGAGGUAAUUUGUUAGCUAAAGUAGAACAAAAGGGUUUGAUAAAAAUAUAUUUUUAUUGAGCAAAGUUAAUUAUUUGCAUUUUAAUCCAUUACUUUUACGGCAUUCCCAUUGCCUACUGAGAACGUGUGGUUUGUUCUCACCCCAAAAUUUCCACCCUUUCAGUGACACAGGUUCGGAGAUUCAGUAAGAAGCUGCAGACGACUAGUAGAUUUACUUGUGAUUCCUGUUGUUUUUAUAGAGUUCCCUCGUCCUUGUUGCUUUAGGAUUUUUUUUAUUUUAUGCAGAUGGAUAGGUAUUGUAUUUGAG
rnacentral:lncRNA from 1 species